rnacentral:lncRNA from 1 species
UAAAUUUUCUUUGUUCAAGCAAGCAGAAACUUCUGAAGGUUUCUGUGACUUGAGGUCAACCUUUGAAUUAUCUCUGUUCUUCUCUUCAGUAGCUUUACCUUCCCAUACCUGAGACUGAGACAACCAAAGAAAAAAACCCAUAUUUUACUACCAAAAAGAGAUCAAGUUAUGAAGACAUUGAGUACUGUCAAAUGCCCAAAUGAAAGCACCCCAUCAUGUUCUUUUUCAAAUUCAUCUGAUAGCAAACAAUCCAAGCACAAAGAAGCUACCUGCUUCUGGAAUAGCUGUUGCUUGGCCUUCUUAUCCUGAAUUCUCUUCUGACGAUCCUCAUAGAACUCAAAAUCAUCAAGGAUGCACUGUUUGCUAAUAUGAUCCUUAAAUAUCUUGAGCACUUGCAGACCCUGCUCCACUUUAACCUGUACCAAACAGAGAAACAGCUGGUAAAGACUUACUAUUGACAUUUAUACAACAGUCAAAUUAACAAGGACAGACUAUACACCACGCCCAAAAAACACUACCCUUCUUUCUCACAAUAUUAAAACCAGUCACAUACCUCCUGAGUAUCUCUGCUGUUCGUAACAGGCUUGUUCUCGUUGUUUUCCAGUGUGAUGUGUUUCAACAAGCUAUUUGGUACAUCCUUCACAAUGUGCCACUUGACAGGAAAACAGCCGACCCACUUGUCUUGCUGCCAAUACUCCACAUUCUUGUU